rnacentral:rRNA from 1 species
CGAGCACGCGCGUGUGGCAUAUCAAUAAGCGGAGGAAAAGAAACUAACAAGGAUUCCCUUAGUAACGGCGAGUGAAGCGGGAAGAGCUCAAAUUUGAAAUCUUCAAGGUUCUACCUUGACGAAUUGUAGUUUAUAAGAAGUGUUUUCUGUUAGUAGAGGUGGCUAAAAGUUCUUUGGAAUAGGACAUCAUAGAGGGUGAGAAUCCCGUAUUUGGUCAUUCCUCCUAGCGUUGUGAUACACUUUCAACGAGUCGGAUUGUUUGGGAAUGCAGUCCAAAAUGGGUGGUAGAUUUCAUCUAAAGCUAAAUAUUGGCGAGAGACCGAUAGCGAACAAGUACCGUGAGGGAAAGAUGAAAAGAACUUUGAAAAGAGAGUUAAACAGUACGUGAAAUUGUCAAAAGGGAAGCGUUUGACACCAGUGUUGUUUUCUCGAAAAUCAAUUAAAAAUGGCUUGAUUUUGUGUUGUAUUGACCUUAAAAGCUUUCUUCACUUUUUUCAUGUCUUUUUUAAUGCACUUUUCGUUUAACAAGUCAACAUCAGUUUCUUUUGUUGUAAAAAGGUCAUUGGAAGGUGGCUUUCUUUUCGGAGAAAGUGUUUAUAGCCUUUGACUCCUACAAUCGGAGAGACUGAGGUCUGCAGCGUAGAUCCUUCUGGAUUAGAUUCAUUUGUGCUAAGUUAUAGCUUUUCAUAGGCAACUUGUUGACUAUGUUUAGUCUUGUAGCUUACUCGCUGACGCUAUUUUACCUACGCUUAGGAUGUUGAUGUGAUACUGCGAGCA